GACGAACCGUGCGAACGUUAUUCGGAAUCACUGGGCUUAAAGCGCGUGUAGGCGGAUGGGGACGUCGGUCGCUGAAAUCCCCCGGCUCAACCGGGGAACGGGCGCCGAAACGCCCCGUCUGGAGGGACGUAGGGGGACCUGGAACUUCCGGUGGAGCGGUGAAAUGCGUUGAGAUCGGAAGGAACGCCCGUGGCGAAAGCGAGGUCCUGGACGUCUUCUGACGCUGAGACGCGAAAAGCUAGGGGAGCGAACGGG
rnacentral:rRNA from 1 species